rnacentral:rRNA from 1 species
CCGCGUGUGUGAAGAAGGCCUGCGGGUUGUAAGCACUUUUAGUGGGGAGGAAAACCCCUGACCUAAUACGUCAGGAAUUGACUUAACCCAAAGAAAAAGCACCGGCUAACUCUGUGCCAGCAGCCGCGGUAAUACAGAGGGUGCAAGCGUUAAUCGGAAUUACUGGGCGUAAAGCGUGCGUAGACGGUUAUUUAAGUCGGAUGUGAAAUCCCCGGGCUCAACCUGGGAAUUGCAUUCGAUACUGAACAGCUAGGGUGCGGAAGAGGGAAGCGGAAUUUCCGGUGUAGCGGUGAAAUGCGUAGAUAUCGGAAGGAACAUCAGUGGCGAAAGCGGCUUCCUGGUCCAGCACCGACGUUCAGGCACGAAAGCGUGGGGAGCAAACAGGAUUAGAUACCCUGGUAGUCCACGCCAUAAACGAUGAGGACUAGACGUUGGAAGGGUCAGCCUUUCAGUGUCGCAGCUAACGCGAUAAGUCCUCCGCCUGGGGAGUACGGCCGCAAGGUUGAAACUCAGAGGAAUUGACGGGGACCCGCACAAGCGGUGGAGCAUGUGGUUUAAUUCGAUGCAACGCGAAGAAACUUACCUGGUC